rnacentral:rRNA from 1 species
UACGUAGGGUGCGAGCGUUGCCCGGAUUUAUUGGGCGUAAAGGGCGCGUAGGCGGCCACGCACGUCCGUUGUGAAAUCGCCCGGCUCAACUGGGCGGGGUCAGCGGAUACGGCGUGGCUAGAGCAAGCUAGGGGGCAAUGGAAUUCCCGGUGUAGUGGUGGAAUGCGUAGAUAUCGGGAGGAACACCAGUGGCGAAGGCGGUUGCCUGGGGGCUUUGCUGACGCUGAUGCGCGAA